rnacentral:rRNA from 1 species
UACGUAGGGACCGAGCGUUGUCCGGAUUCAUUGGGCGUAAAUAGCUCGUAGGCGGCUGCUCAAGUCGAAUGUGAAAACUCGAGGCUCAACCUCGAGCCUGCAUUCGAUACUGGGCGGCUAGAGUCUGGUAGGGGGAUCUGGAAUUCCUGGUGUAGCGGUGGAAUGCGCAGAUAUCAGGAGGAACACCGGUGGCGAAGGCGGGAUCCUGGGCCAGUACUGACGCUGAGGAGCGAAAGCGUGGGGAGCAAACAGG